UGAUUGAUACCAAGCUUCCAGGAAAAGCCACUAAGCUUCAGUCUAGAAUUGACCGUACCGCAAACCGACACAGGUGGGCAGGAUGAAAAUUCUAAGGCGCUUGAGAGAACUCAGGAGAAGGAACUCGACAAAUUAACACCGUAACUUCGGGAGAAGGUGUGCCCCGGUAGGUUGUAGAGCCUUGCGCUCGAAGGCCGAUGGGGUUGCAGUGAAAUGGUGGCUGCGACUGUUUAACAAAAACACAGCACUCUGCAAACACGAAAGUGGACGUAUAGGGUGUGACGCCUGCCCGGUGCCGGAAGGUUAAUUGAUGGGGUGCAAGCUCUUGAUCGAAGCCCCGGUAAACGGCGGCCGUAACAAUAACGGUCCUAAGGUAGCGAAAUUCCUUGUCGGGUAAGUUCCGACCUGCAAAUGGCGUAACGAUGGCCACACUGUCUCCUCCUGAGACUCAGCGAAGUUGAAAUGUUUGUGAAGAUGCAAUCUCCCCGCGGCAAGACGGAAAGACCCCAUGAACCUUUACUGUAGCUUUGCAUUGGACUUUGAAUCGGUCUGUGUAGGAUAGGUGGGAGGCUGUGAAACCGGGACGCUAGUUUCGGUGGAGCCAACCUUGAAAUACCACCCUGAUUUAUUUGAGGUUCUAACCUUGAUCCGUGAAUCCGGAUCGGGGACCGUGCAUGGUGGGCAGUUUGACUGGGGCGGUCCCCUCCCAAAAGGUAACGGAGGAGUACGAAGGUACGCUUAGGGCGGUCGGACAUCGCCCAUAAAGUGCAAUGGCAAAAGCGUGCUUGACUGCGAGACCCACAAGUCGAGCAGGUGCGAAAGCAGGUCAUUGUGAUCCGGUGGUUCUGUAUGGAAGGGCCAUCGCUCAACGGAUAAAAGGUACUCUGGGGAUAACAGGCUGAUACCGCCCAAGAGUUCAUAUCGACGGCGGUGUUUGGCACCUUGAUGUCGGCUCAUCUCAUCCUGGGGCUGUAGCCGGUCCCAAGGGUAUGGCUGUUCGCCAUUUAAAGAGGUACGUGAGCUUGGUUUAAAACGUCGUGAGACAGUUUGGUCCCUAUCUGCCGUGGGCGCUGGAAAUUUGAAGGGGGCUGCUCCUAGUACGAGAGGACCGGAGUGGACGAACCUCUGGUGUACCGGUUAUGACGCCAGUCGUAUCGCCGGGUAGCUAUGUUCGGAAGAGAUAAACGCUGAAAGCAUCUAAGCGUGAAACUCGCCUUAAGAUAAGAUUUCCCGGAGUCUUG
rnacentral:rRNA from 1 species